rnacentral:rRNA from 1 species
AGUGAACGCUGGCGGUAGGCCUAACACAUGCAAGUCGAGCGGCAGCACAGUAAGAGCUUGCUCUUACGGGUGGCGAGUGGCGGACGGGUGAGGAAUACAUCGGAAUCUACUUUUUCGUGGGGGAUAACGUAGGGAAACUUACGCUAAUACCGCAUACGACCUACGGGUGAAAGCAGGGGAUCUUCGGACCUUGCGCGAUUGAAUGAGCCGAUGUCGGAUUAGCUAGUUGGCGGGGUAAAGGCCCACCAAGGCGACGAUCCGUAGCUGGUCUGAGAGGAUGAUCAGCCACACUGGAACUGAGACACGGUCCAGACUACUACGGGAGGCAGCAGUGGGGAAUAUUGGACAAUGGGCGCAAGCCUGAUCCAGCCAUACCGCGUGGGUGAAGAAGGCCUUCGGGUUGUAAAGCCCUUUUGUUGGGAAAGAAAAGCAGCAGGUUAAUACCCCGCUGUUCUGACGGUACCCAAAGAAUAAGCACCGGCUAACUUCGUG